rnacentral:rRNA from 1 species
GAUCAUGGCUCAGAGUGAACGCUGGCGGCAGGCCUAAUACAUGCAAGUCGAACGGCAGCACAGUGGGGCUUGCUCCAUGGGUGGCGAGUGGCGGACGGGUGAGGAAUACAUGGGAAUCUGCCCAGUCGUGGGGGAUAACGUAUGGAAACGUACGCUAAUACCGCAUGCGCCCUUCGGGGAAAGUCGGGGACCGCAAGGCCUGACGCGAUUGGAUGAGCCCAUGUUCGAUUAGCUAGUUGGCGGGGUAACGGCCCACCAAGGCGACGAUCGAUAGCUGGUCUGAGAGGAUGAUCAGCCACACUGGAACUGAGACACGGUCCAGACUCCUACGGGAGGCAGCAGUAGGGAAUAUUGGACAAUGGGCGCAAGCCUGAUCCAGCCAUGCCGCGUGAGUGAAGAAGGCCCUCGGGUUGUAAAGCUCUUUUGUUGGGGAAGAAAAGCAGUUGGUUAAUACCCGAUUGUUCUGACGGUACCCAAAGAAUAAGCACCGGCUAACUUCGUG